rnacentral:pre_miRNA from 1 species
UCACCUCCGCAGGCUGGCCACCCCCCAGGCUGGGCUGGGCGAGUAUCUUUUUGAAAGGCUCACCCUCAAGCACGACUGGGAGC